UACGUAGGGUGCGAGCGUUAAUCGGAAUUACUGGGCGUAAAGCGUGCGCAGGCGGUUCGUUGUGUCGGUGGUGAAAUCCCCGGGCUUAACCUGGGAAUGGCCAUGGAAACUGGCGAACUGGAGUGUGGCAGAGGGGGGGUGGAAUUCCGCGUGUAGCAGUGAAAUGCGUAGAGAUGCGGAGGAACACCGAUGGCGAAGGCAGCCCCCCUGGGCUAGCACUGACGCUCAGGCACGAAAGCGUGGGGAGCAAACAGG
rnacentral:rRNA from 1 species